rnacentral:lncRNA from 1 species
GUGUACGGUCCUACCAGACCACAUGCUUUCGCGUCCAGCUAGCCUAGCAACUACUCCAAUGGGAGAGUUCACCAGUUCUCCCCACACAUCAAGUCCUAUUGUUUCUCUAAUGUGGGGGAAAAGUCUUGGACGGAAAUUGUGAUCAAUAUCUUUAUUUUCUAGGUUAGAAGACCCUUCAGGGUAAAGUCUUGUAGGGUAAUCCCGUGAUUUAACUUCAGCAACAUCCAUCUGAUCAUAUAACCCAACAAUAAAUCAGCCACAAGAUAACAAUAACACAGCCAUAACAUAACAAUAACUCAGCCACAAAAUAACAAAUUAACUCAGCCACAACAUAACAAUAACUCUGCCACAACAUAACAGUAACUCAGCCACAACAUAACAUUAAUUUAGUCACGACAUAGCCAUAACUCAGCCAUAACAUAACAAUUACUCAGUCAUAACAUAAACCUUACUCAGUCGCAACAAAACCCUAACUCAGACGCAACAAAACCCUCAACAAAACCAUAUCACAGCCGCAACAUAGCCCUAUCUCAGUCGCAACAAAAUAUAUAACUCAGAUGAAAUAUA